AAUUUGAAACGCACUGUCUGUGACGGCUGCUGAGGCUGCUGCGGGGGAGUGAAGGGCUGUCAUGACGAUGACCCCUGGAGCAUUGGACCUUGGGUUUGGAGCUUUCGUCUUGGAUUACUUCUCCCACCCUGUCUUGCCAGUCUGCUGACCCAGAUUUAUAGAAAUCUGCCCCCCAUCAUGCUUCAUCUCCUCUUCAAGUAAAAGUAGAUACAAGUGUUGCAGAGAUUUAGACUCAUCACGACUUGAAGAUGGAAGCUGAUGGUGUAAGCACUUGACAGCAAUGGAUCCCUUAUGAGUACUAUUUCAUGGACUUCUGGGACAGGAGUUCAAAGGUUACUUCUUUUUUGGUGACAUGCAUCUUUGAAGGAAUGUGAUUCUUGUUUGAGCAAUCUCCAUCUAAAGGCGGAGUUCACUGUAUAAAUAACAGGAAAACUUGAAACCUAAGAGUGCCUUGGCAGAAUAUGAUAUCAGAAUCAUAAUAAAGUAUUCAUGUAUUGAACGCUCUGUCCUCAUCUUGUGAGAUUACUUGAAGGCUGUGGAGUCUAUGGGAAGUGGAACUUGGUCAACAUAAAGGGGCAUAUUACGUUUGCUUCUCUCCAAAUAUUUUAAAGAACAAAACACUGUAACCCAGCACACAGUGUUCUACAGCUGGCCAAGUGCUCUGUUUACCCUGCAGUGUGAGUGAGCUCCCCUCUGUCUACAGCUCAGGAGAAAAGCAGGUGGAGGAGGAAGAGGAUGGCUGUGGCUCAGACGCUCACUUGAGCGACUUGUGGGAACUUUUACCUUUACUGAUGAUGUCCUUGUUGCAAAACCCAGACUAUAAUAAAUAAAAACAACAAAGUAUCUUAACAUCAAUUCAGACAGGUUCUUUCACUGAACUUGAAGGUGAUUGAUUAAGUUAUGUGGGCUGGUCAGUAAGCUUCAUGGAUCUUCCUAUCUCCAUCUACUACCCAGCAGUUGGAUUACAA